GCUGAAAAUAGCUUUAUUGUCUCCUCUGAUUAUAAAGAUGGUAAUUCACUGAUCCAGAAAAGUCAACCGAGCAAGCGAACUGCGCUAGUCACCUGUGACGGCCGUCAAGCCUGCCACUGGGGCUCUUGACCACGAUCUGCAGAACCAACAAUAAAACAACAGAGUGCACGAAGCCGGCGCCAGGCGAGCAGGACUUCUUGGCCUUCGGCCCCCGGCUCCCCGUGCCCAGACGCCUCUGCCAGGCCUGCCCCUGGCCAUCGUCUCUGCCUGCGUGCUCCGCUCUGGGUUUGCUGGCUCCCCCUCCCCUGCCUGAGCAUCGCAGGACACGUCCCCUUGGAGCGGAGCCCCCGGCUUCUUUCCCAGUUGUGCUCUCUCCCGUGACCUCCUGCACUGAUGGCCCUGGAGGUCGGCGACCCCAGCCCCCAGCCCCGGCCUGGCUUUCUCUCCAGCUCUGGGAAGGCAUGCAAGGCCACGGGCCCUGGAGUGCUGACAGCACUGUGGAGCCCUGUGCCAAGGUCACAGGUGCAAAGCCCCACACCAGGGUCGUCUCUGGAUCUGACUGAGCCCCAUAGCAACCGUUGCCAUGGGCUCCCCUGAUCGAAUCUGGCCAGCUUCCUAACCCCGCAUUAGGUAAAAACACCCACCCUCACCCAUCUCCUGAUGCCACCCUUCCGGCAGAAAUUUUCUUUGUCCUGAGACUGUAAACAUCGGCUACUAACCCAUGAAGGAGGUCGGCUCUCCCGGGACUGGUGGGAGGUCAGCUGACGAUGCCCUCGUUAUCUCUGCUCUCAGU